rnacentral:rRNA from 1 species
AUUAACACAUGUUAGUUAUUUAAAAGGAGCAAUUGCUUCACUGUGAGAUGGACCUGCGUUGUAUUAGCUAGUUGGUGAGGUAAAGGCUCACCAAGGCGACGAUACAUAGCCGACCUGAGAGGGUGAUCGGCCACACUGGGACUGAGACACGGCCCAGACUCCUACGGGAGGCAGCAGUAGGGAAUCUUCGGCAAUGGACGGAAGUCUGACCGAGCAACGCCGCGUGAGUGAAGAAGGUUUUCGGAUCGUAAAGCUCUGUUGUUAGAGAAGAACGUUGGUAGGAGUGGAAAAUCUACCAAGUGACGGUAACUAACCAGAAAGGGACGGCUAACUACGUGCCAGCAGCCGCGGUAAUACGUAGGUCCCGAGCGUUGUCCGGAUUUAUUGGGCGUAAAGCGAGCGCAGGCGGUUCUUUAAGUCUGAAGUUAAAGGCAGUGGCUUAACCAUUGUACGCUUUGGAAACUGGAGGACUUGAGUGCAGAAGGGGAGAGUGGAAUUCCAUGUGUAGCGGUGAAAUGCGUAGAUAUAUGGAGGAACACCGGUGGCGAAAGCGGCUCUCUGGUCUGUAACUGACGCUGAGGCUCGAAAGCGUGGGGAGCAAACAGGAUUAGAU